AAAAUAAUUUGUUUAUUUCAUAUUUGCUGCGGACUUUAUAUUGUGAAAGAUUUUGAACAGUAAAAAGAAAUCGUUGAAGGAAUUUCCAUAUGAAUUUUAAAGUAGUUCUGGUGUUUUUCCUGUGUGAAUGUAUAUGCACCGCUCUAGGCUGUCAAAGCAGAUGUGCAAGAUGUCAGGGAAGCUCUGAUAUUUGUGAAGAAUGUAAAGACGGAUACUUCAUAUAUCACAGAAACUGUUUUUCUUGUCCUGAUAACUGUGAAAAAUGUACACACACGUCCAACUGUACAAAAUGUAAAACACAAUUCUGGGACAUCCGGCCGUAUCAUGCUUGCGGAAGUGCGUGUCAUGAAAACUGUGGAGAGACUGGGUGUGAUGAUGUGACUGGUUACUGUCAUCAAUGUAAAUCAGGAUUUUAUGGUUCUUUUUGUGAAAACAACUGUUCCUUGUGCAUAAACGGUGCUUGUGAACUUCGUAAGUGUACAAUAGGUUGUAUUGAUGGAUAGUAUGGUGAUACUGUCAGUCGUUUUAAAACGUGUCGGAAAUGUUAUGGUGAUUGCACGUUAUGUGGUAGUUGGAAAAAUUGUACACAAUGUGCAAAUGGUUUCUUUUUACAAUAUGUGUUUCUCGAAAAUACCACAUAUGGUAUUUGUACUCCGUGCCCAUCAAACUGCUCUAAUGGCUGUGACAGUAACGGGCAUUGUCUAGGUGGCUGCAGUGAUGGCUGGACAGGACAAAAGUGUACAAACAGAUGUGCGAACAAAUGUCAAAGAUGUGACCAGAAUCAUGGAGGCAUAUGUACAAAAUGUGAAGGUAAUUUCUAUACGCAAUCCUGUUUUAUGCCAUGCAGUUCCAACUGCGCUUCACUUCCCGGCAUGGUGACAUGUAAUUUAAACGAUGGAACGUGUCUGAACGGCUGUAAAGAGGGAUUCAAUGGAAUUACAUGUGAAGAUAAAGUUUUCAUUGGCUCAACAGUCAUGACGACAACAUUAGCAGGAAUUCCACGGACUGAUGAUAUAUGUGCACAAUGUAGGGAAGCUAACGGACAUGACAGUCAUACGAAAUUAUUUCUUUUUGGAACACUUACAGGUUUCGGCAUUUGUCUGCUGGUAGCUCUUGCAUAUAUAAUUAUACGUUUUUAUAGAAGAAGGUGGGUUACUUUUUGAUAGUAUUUACUUCAUACCUAUCAAACUAACACAUUGUAUAAAGAAAUGUCUCAACCAGUCAAAGAUUAUACAUGUCUUUAAAGAUUUUUACACAAUGCGUUUGGUUUUAGGAAAAUAUUAAAUACACCUUCUGAGACACUUCAUUAUUUUUGCAUAUUUUGAAGAACAAAUGCACAUGAAAAAAACGAAUAUGUGAAUACCGCCGUUACGAUGGACUCAGUGUCGUCUAUGGAGACAGGAGGUAGCCGUGAAAAUGUUGUACAUUACGAAACAACGGAUGGAACAGUUCAAAGCGUGUAUGAGAGAUUAGAUGAUAGCAGACGUGAUGAUCAACAUCAAUAUAGUGGACUGUAAGGAUUAACACAUCAUCAAGAGACUAUCAACAUAUGAGUUAUAAGUAUGAUAACGAAAUUGCUGCAUUACAAUCACAGACAUGCUAGCAUUGAAUAAUGUAAUAACACCAUCACGGCCAUGUUACAGCACCAUCACGGCCAUGUUACAGUACCAUCACGGUCAUGUUACAACACCAUCACGGCCAUGUUACAGUAUCAUCACGACCAUGUUACAACAUUAUCACGGCCAUGUUACAGUAAAACCUCAUAUAUGUUACUCAUGUUAGUCACUGUGUAAAAAGUACAUGUUAAAACAAAAUACAAUAUCGCUUUUUAUAUAAAAGGAAAUGCUUUGCUGUUCAUUCUGUAUGCUUAAGCAUAAUGUUUACACAUAAUUGCUUUCAUGUCAUUAGCCUGAAGUCAUCGUCUGCGAUUAAAAGAAAAGUAAUGCCUUCUGUAUAAUAUAACACAGCAGUUAUUAUAACAAAUCCAAAUUGUUAUCCUAAUAACGUGCGUGUGUCAUUUAUAUGUUGCUUAACAUUUAAGCAUAUAUUAAACAAUUCUAACAGAACGUAUUUAUAGCAAAUAAAGAACAACAUUUGUUGUAAUUCUAAUUGACAUUAAUGUACUAGCACAUGGCAUAAGAACUGCAUUUCAAGUAAAGUUUAUCUUAUGUUUAAUCAGGCAUUGGAAAGAAAUGACCGAUCAACUAAAAUCGUUGACACAACCCUUUAAUGCAUCACCAGAUCAAAGCAAAGUCCCUUAAAUUGGGAGGAAGCAAAAGUGGCUCCAUAAAGUUGAAACUAAUAAACGCAGCACUGCCAAAUUUGUUUUCGGGGAAAUACUCCGACAAGUAUGACCAGAAAACUAUGAUAAGAUAGUCUCGAAUAACAUUUAAAGGCGGUGGUCAAGUACAGUAGACAUUUUAAUAUUUAGUAGAGAUAAAACCUAAGUUCUUUAAAUCAGGUUUGAAGUUAAAAAGCUUUGAAAUGAAGGCAAGUGUCCAUAUAUUUCUCAAAAAUAGAUAUAUGUACAAUAUUUCAACCAGAAGCCUGAGUGCUAAAAAUGUAAUACAUCUGGAACAGUCUGUAAACAGCAAAAAUAUGCUAUAGCAGAAUGCAACUAUUUAAGCUCUAACCGGGACUCAAACCCAAGACCUCUCACACCUAAGGCAGACACUCUACCACUUCCCUAUAACAGCAGUAGCUAAUAGCUA